AAAAAGAUAAGCUAACUAAGCUAAUGGGUUCAUACCCCGUGUAUAAAGGUUCUAGUCCUUUUCUUUUUA
rnacentral:tRNA from 1 species